AUGGCCACCACACGAACAGUCCUUGAGAGCCUCCAUAAUUUCCAAGGAAAACUCGACAUUGUUCGCCAUCUUGCCAAACUUUGCAUAGACAUUAUCGAGGUUGGAUUUCUCGUCGCCUCUAUAGACGACUUCGAAGUCAUUAAAAUGAUUACCACUGAAGUCAUAAACCCUGUCGCCGAAAACAGUUAUGUCUUCGUCAUUUGUGGUCUCUCCAGAUGUAAUGAGAAGGAUAUUCAAAGGGCUUGA